ACGCUGGCGGCACGCCUAACACAUGCAAGUCGAACGAAGUAGCAAUACUUAGUGGCAGACGGGUGAGUAACAUGUGGGUAUCUGCCCUUUGGCCUGGAAUAACACGAGGAAACUUGUGCUAAUACCGGAUAAGUCUUUACGGAGAAAGCUUUAUGCACCAUUGGAUGAGCCCGCACUUGAUUAGUUUGUUGGUGGGGUAAUGGCCUACCAAGACUGUGAUCAAUAGCUGAUUUGAGAGGAUGAUCAGCCACAUUGGGACUGAGACACGGCCCAAACUCCUACGGGAGGCAGCAGUGGGGAAUCUUGCACAAUGGAGGAAACUCUGAUGCAGCGAUGCCGCGUGAGUGAAGAAGGCCCUUGGGUUGUAAAGCUCUUUCGUCGGGGAAGAAAAUGACUGUACCCGAAUAAGAAGGUCCGGCUAACUUCGUGCCAGCAGCCGCGGUAAUACGAAGGGACCUAGCGUAGUUCGGAAUUACUGGGCUUAAAGAGUUCGUAGGUGGUUGAAAAAGUUAGUGGUGAAAUCCCAGAGCUUAACUCUGGAACUGCCAUUAAAACUUUUCAGCUAGAGUAUGAUAGAGGAAAGCAGAAUUUCUAGUGUAGAGGUGAAAUUCGUAGAUAUUAGAAAGAAUACCAAUUGCGAAGGCAGCUUUCUGGAUCAUUACUGACACUGAGGAACGAAAGCAUGGGUAGCGAAGAGGAUUAGAUACCCUCGUAGUCCAUGCCGUAAACGAUGUGUGUUAGACGUUGGAAAUUUAUUUUCAGUGUCGCAGCGAAAGCGAUAAACACACCGCCUGGGGAGUACGACCGCAAGGUUAAAACUCAAAUGAAUUGACGGGGACCCGCACAAGUAGUGGAGCAUGUGGUUUAAUUCGAAGAUACGCGCAGAACCUUACCAACACUUGACAUGUUCGUCGCGACUCUAAGAGAUUAGAGUUUUCGGUUCGGCCGGACGAAACACAGGUGCUGCAUGGCUGUCGUCAGCUCGUGUCGUGAGAUGUUGGGUUAAGUCCCGCAACGAGCGCAACCCCUACUUUUAGUUGCCACCAUUCAGUUGGGCACUUUAAAAGAACUGCCAGUGAUAAGCUGGAGGAAGGUGGGGAUGACGUCAAGUCCUCAUGGCCCUUAUGUGUUGGGCUACACACGUGCUACAAUGGUACUUACAAUGGGAUGCAAAGAGGCGACUCUAAGCUAAUCCCUAAAAUGUACCUCAGUUCGGAUUGUACUCUGUAACUCGAGUGCAUGAAGCUGGAAUUGCUAGUAAUCGCGGAUCAGCGCGCCGCGGUGAAUACGUUCCCGGGUCUUGCACUCACCGCC
rnacentral:rRNA from 1 species